ACAAAUUUUAUUGCUUGGAUUCGAGAGCAAGUGAAACUCAUUGUCUUUCAUUCUAUUUAUCCCCAGAAAACUUGUAUUAGCUUUAAGUAUUUUACACAUUUUGAUCAAUAGCAAUAAAUCAGAGUUACCCGAUCAUAAUUAUUUUGCUUGAAAUUGAGAAUUUUGACACUAGGUUUGAAAUGAGCUUCAGAUAUCUUUAGCAGCAGCAACAAGUCCUCGUGAAGCAGCAACGACAACAACAGCAGCAACUGCACAUCGCAAACAAGCUGCAUUGAUGAAAGAAGCGCGAAAAUUAGCCCAAAACUGAUUUCCAAAUAACACGAAACCAUCCUGCAGACGAAAUGAGACGAGAUCAUACCUAGCAUAGAGGCCACCACUUUUCGGCUCAGGGUGCUGAGGUCUCUGGACCUGAUACUCCAUCUUUUGAUUCACUGGAGCUUUCUCUGUCGUCAUGAUCUUCACUUUCGGGCAACAGAUUGAAGCAGAUGCAAAGAAAGAAGUACGCGUUGUCGAUUUAAAGGCUCAACAGCUAGUGAAAGAGGCACAGGGAGCUUGUGUUGAUCAAUGUAGCCAUAAGUGAAGUAGUUAUCUUUCUGUUUCAUCAACCUUGUAAUAAACCACCUCACAUUGUAUUUCACAUCAGUGUUGCGGCAAGUACAUCUAACUCUUAAUUCCCCAUUUCCUCAACCGUGUAAUAAAUUCGAAUCUGGUGUGCUCACGGUUAGCAUUGUGAUUGAACAAAAAUUCAUGUCGGUUUUGAAGCGCAACUCGUGAAACACGAUUUAAUACCCACAAUCUUGUUAUGAACGGUAAACGUAAGAGUAGACUUAUGAAACAAAUAUGGCAAGUGAAAUAGUCUCGAGAUUGAAAUAAAUAGGCCCCUGUUUACCAAAAAAAUAAAUAAAUAGAAUAAAUAGGCCAAUCGAUGUAUAUUAAAUAAAAUUCAAAAUAUUAAAAUUGUAUCAUGUGCUUGGGAGAAGUUCGAAUCUGCUGGUUAAUCUUUAGGGAUGACUCGAGAGUUUUUUGGAAGUUUUUCUUCGAGUUUUUUUUUCUUAACUCGGGCUUCAUUGUAAUUUUAUAGUUCACAUUUUUCACUCUUAAAAUUGUGCCACUCAUACAAAGUUCGAUUUUAUAAUGAGGUUCACAUUGAUUUUCUGUGUUGUCGAGAAAGAUUUCUUUUUAGCUCAGGGAGAAAAUUCCCAAUUUAUUAAAAUUUCUUAAUUUAUUCUUAAAAAAAUUCACUAAUUUACCGAUUACACUCCAAUAUUAAUUUGGAUAAAUAUCUCUGGUUUGGAACCAUUUUGAGGUCCUUGAAUCAUAGAACUGCGUUCAAUUGACAUAAAAAUGCAAGAUAAGCACAACUCGCCUACAGAGUUCAAGUAGCUUUUCGUAAGGCUCCUCUCAGCAGAAAACCAUAAUGUUGAACACUAUACUUACUGAUCUAAGCUUGAACGUAAGACAUUAUAUAGAUAUGAGAUCUGUUGUUCUUAUCAUUUUCUUUUUAACAGCUAACAAAAUUAAGAUGUGCUCUGUCAGCUUUUUUUUAAAAAAAAAUAAUUGUGAAAACUGAUGUCAAGCAGCAAUGCACAAAUCAUGUUCAAGUUGUUCUUAUCAUUAUCCGCUUACCAUAAAUUUUGCAAGUUUUGAUGUCAAGCAGUCAUG
rnacentral:lncRNA from 1 species